UUAAUUAGUUAUACCCAAGAAGCAGGAAGUGAAAUACAUUUUUACUUAAGCUCAAUGGCUUAUGUGACUUUAGUUUUACGAAAUCUGUGUAAUUAAGUUUUAUUUUCUAUACUAAAAUACAUUUUACAUCAAUAAAAUUGUUGUAUGGUGCUUUUAAUUAUGACUUAGAGAUUGCUGGUUAACGGACACGCUUAACAGUAAAGUGGAAGGGGAGUAGCAGGUCGCUAUAUUCACACUCCUUGAGUUUUGUAAAGGUUGCUCGCGGAAAUACACAAGACUCGUAGCGAUCCAUCAGUGAAUCAGUAACCGGCAGGAAUGCAGUCGAAUUUCUUAAUUUCCAAAGCCUGGGGGAUUAAUUCGAGCUUCUGUUCCUACUAUUGCCAAUGCUGAGGAUAGCAGGAUUCUAAGGAAGAGUUUCAUGUUUUUCUUUGCACAAAAGAUGCAUCUAAGAAUCAUAAAACCAUAUGAAUAGGUUUUACUUACCGGGAACCAAACGUGCAUCGGUAGCUACAAGAGAUAAAGCUAAGGAUAGCAGGAUUCCCAGGAGGACCUUCAUAUUUUCGUUAGUGAUCGGUAUUAAGAUUGCAACUGGAACUAUGUUUGUCCAGUUAUAUCCAAUAAGCAGGAAGUGAAAUAUAUUUUUACUUAAGCGUUAUGGCUUAUGUGACUUUAGUUUUAAGAAAUCUUUCUGAUUCGGAAUUAAUUUCUAUAUUAAAAUCAUUUUGAUUUAAAUAUUGGGUUGAAUAUUAGAUUUUUAUUUUACAGAUUCAUCUUAGAAUCAUAAAACCAUAGGAAUAGAAUCCUACGAAUCCCUUCCUUCAUUUUCGGGAACCAAACGAGCAUCGGUAGCUACAAGGGAUAAAGCUAAAGAUAGCAGGACA